AUGAGCAGCGACGAGUUACUUCAAGCUCAGCUGGAGCUCUACCACCACGGCCUCGCCUUCGUCAAGUCACUGGCGCUCAAGGCCGCCACGGACCUGCGCAUCCCCGACGCCAUCCACCGCCGCGGCGGCGCCGCCACCUUGUCCGAGCUGGCCUCCGACACCGGGAUCCACCCCACGAAGCGCUCCAACCUCCGGCGGGUCAUGCGGGUGCUCACCACCACCGGGGUAUUCUCCAUUGUCCAAGGCAAAGGCAGCAACGACCACGCCGGUGAUGGCGCUGCGUAUUACAAGCUCACGCGGGUCUCCCGGCUCCUUGUCGAGAGAUCACCGCACAACCUGUCCCCGAUGCACUCGCUCGUCCAGCUGGCCAACGGCUGCACGUUCUGGGACACCACCAAGGUCGAUGGCGGCUUGUUCAACGACGGCAUGGCCGCGGACAGCCGCAUCGCCAUGAAGGUCCUGUUGAAGGAGCACGGCGGAGCGUUCAGGGAAGUGAAAAGCUCGCUGGUGGACAUCGGCGGCAACCAUGGCGCCACCGCGUCGGCCGUGGCGAGAGCGUUCCCGCACCUCAAGUGCAGCGUUCUGGACCUCCCACACGUCGUCGCCGCGGCUCCCGCCAGCGACAUUUUGACCUUCGUCGCCGGAAAUAUGUUUGAGUAUGUCCCACCUGCGGAUGCUGUUCUACUCAAGUGGAUUUUGCAUGACUGGAAACACGAAGACUGCGUCAAGAUAAUGCGCCGGUGCAAGGAAGCGAUCCCAGCGAAAGAAGCCGGAGGAAAGGUGAUAAUCAUCGACAUGGUGGUGGGAUAUCCGGUGACUCAGCCCAACCAUUCCAAAGAGGCGCAGGUUUUGUUAGAUAUCUACAUGAUGGGCUCCGAUGGAAUGGAGCGAGAGGAAAACGAGUGGAGCUUGAUUUUCUCCGAAGCCGGGUUCAGCGACUACAAGAUCACUCGAACCAAUGGGAUUCGAUCAAUUAUCGAAGUAUACCCUUAA
rnacentral:rRNA from 1 species